AACACAUGCAAGUCGAGCGGUAACAGAUUGAUAGCUUGCUAUCAAUGCUGACGAGCGGCGGACGGGUGAGUAAUGCCUGGGAAUAUACCCUGAUGUGGGGGAUAACUAUUGGAAACGAUAGCUAAUACCGCAUAAUCUCUUCGGAGCAAAGAGGGGGACCUUCGGGCCUCUCGCGUCAGGAUUAGCCCAGGUGGGAUUAGCUAGUUGGUGGGGUAAUGGCUCACCAAGGCGACGAUCCCUAGCUGGUCUGAGAGGAUGAUCAGCCACACUGGAACUGAGACACGGUCCAGACUCCUACGGGAGGCAGCAGUGGGGAAUAUUGCACAAUGGGGGAAACCCUGAUGCAGCCAUGCCGCGUGUAUGAAGAAGGCCUUCGGGUUGUAAAGUACUUUCAGUUGUGAGGAAGGCGUUGGAGUUAAUAGCUUCAGCGUUUGACGUUAGCAACAGAAGAAGCACCGGCUAACUCCGUGCCAGCAGCCGCGGUAAUACGGAGGGUGCGAGCGUU
rnacentral:rRNA from 1 species